GUAUGCUUCGAAUCAGAUGGUUCCCCAUGAGGGGAUGAAAAUGGGAACAGGGUACGGACGUGGAUCGAUCUCCCGUUCAAUGCCCUGGCUGCCCCCGCAACUGUAAGCGGAAAGUCCGCGCUUAUGUCGUGCCACUGGUCUCGUAUAGCGACUGGGAAGGCCAAGCGUAGGACGAUGACCCGCAAGCCAGGAGACCUGCCAUCGCUUGCAUCGUCUA
rnacentral:ncRNA from 2 species